AAGACUCAAAGUACCAUGAGCAGGCCUGGAUUCUGGGACUGUAAGGCCUCAGUUCCAGCCUUUUUUAUGAGUCUCUGUUUGUCUCUGUGUCUGUAGUCUGUCUGGCUGUUUGGUCACAGAGGAAGGCUGUUCUUCUCUGGCCUCAGCUCUGAGCUCCUCCUGUCUGACAAAGCUAGACCUGAGCUACAAUCAUCCAGGAGAAGGAGGAGAGAAACUACUGUCUGCUCUACAGAAGGAUCCACACUGCAGACUGGAGACACUGAGGCUGGACCAUGGUGGACAGCACAGACUGAAACCAGGUCUAAAGAAGUAUGCCUGUGAGCUGGAAGUGGACACAAACACAGUGAACAGAAGACUCAAACUGUCUGACAACAACAGGACGGUGACAUGUGUGGAGG